rnacentral:pre_miRNA from 17 species
ACUCGGUGCCGCCCCUUAGUGGCCAUCAGUUGUAACAGCAACUCCAUGUGGUGGUACUCUGAUCCCACUGGAGGUGCUGUUAUCUCUGACAGUCACGGCCAGCGACAGGGAGGAAU